rnacentral:misc_RNA from 1 species
GGUGGCAAGGGCAGCAUGCGCAGGAAGAAGAAGGCAGUUCACAAGACCACCACCACUGAUGACAAGAGGCUUCAAAGCACCUUGAAAAGAGUAGGAGUGAACAACAUUCCUGGUAUUGAAGAGGUCAAUAUCUUCAAGGAUGAUGUGGUUAUCCAAUUUCAGAAUCCAAAAGUGCAAGCAUCCAUUGGUGCAAAUACAUGGGUAGUGAGUGGAACACCACAGACGAAGAAGCUGCAAGAUCUGC